UUGUACAAUGAACACCCAAGAGAGCUUUAUAGUUCCCUGGACUUUGACACUGUGCUGGAGCAAUGACUGUUCUUUUCCUCUGCAUUGAAAGGAGUAUUUAUCCUUUUAGAUGUAUUCAGAAAGCCAGCAAGCAC
ensembl:snoRNA